UGAAACGUAAUUAAAUGUGAUGUUUCUGAAACGUGGCUAAAAUGUAAUGUUCUGGACACUGAGUUAUUCAUUGAUAAUUAUCAUGUUUAGAGAAGGGAUAGCGUAAUGAGAAAAACUAUUUGUGCAAAAUGAAAUGUCAUAGUUAACGCUAUCUUUUUAACUUCUUCAUAUAUUUCACCUAAUUCUGAACUUGAAAUCUUUUUAAACUGUGCGAUUUAUUUGUUAAGUGUCUUCAUUGCUUACAGGCUAUUUUUCGUUAAUUUGUGUAAGGGAUUCUAACUAACUUGGAUAUCCGGUCCCUAUGUACAUCCUGUUGAUAAAUCUUGGAUUGAGAAACUCUUCAUUUAAUUUAUUUCUGCUCAUGCUUGGAUUGAUAGGCGUAACUUUGGGAAAACAAACUUCACUUUCUUUUACCGAGCACUAUAUUGCGUCAUAAUGACAACAUUGGCUCAUGUCUUUCAACAUUUUAUGAGAAACGUAAUUUGCAUUAUCUAUCUCUGUACCGACAAUUAAACAAAAUAUAGAUCUGUUUACUGUUUUAAAAGUCGAGUACUGCGCUGAAUUUUUUAAAGUAUUUUUCCGCAAGGAAUAUAUGCUACUCUGUAAACUCCAACAUUUAAUAUGAUGAGAUCAUAACUCAGAGAUUGCUAGUUUAUUUGUCGACUUUUUUCAUCUUACACCCCAAAACAUUUUAAAGUUUCUUAUAAUUGUAAUGUUAAGAAAAUAAAUAUUUUUUCUCGUAUUAUCUUAACAGAUAUUGAUUAUUGCGUUAUUGAAGCAAAAUCUUUAUUAGUCUUCACCGUACGAAGAGGUUGAUGAUCCUUACGUAACUCAAAGUAUAUUAUUAUAUCUGGUUUGUACAGUAUUAGAAUAUGGCUUUAUAUUGCGAAGGCCACUUUAUAAAUUUUACUCUGAUAAAAUUGAAUCAGUACAAAUUAAGUUUUUAUAAUUUUCGCUCCACGUGGUUUGUAGGAGAGCUCCAUGCAGGGAACUGUACAUAUAGUUCAAAGUUUUGAUAUAAGACCCAUAUAACAGUACCGCCGCAAAUUGGGUAUUUUUUGAUGUUUUUUUUUACAAUUUUCACCAGAAUGUUUCAAGUUUUGUAUUUGAACACCGUAAUGGGCACCACCUUCUACUUCUAAAAAUGUCUACAUGUCCACCUCUUCGUAUAGCCCCCAUAUAGUAUGGUAUAUCCCUAUAUUCGGGUUUGUGAAGAUUUUAGCCAUAUUGAUCAACAGAAUUAUAUGGAGUUCGUGGUAGGUCCGCGUUUUCGUAUAGCCGUCAUAUAACGGUACCUCUAGGUAUUCGGUGUUCUGAAAAUUCUAUUUACACUUUUCAUCGGAAUUAUUUUAAAUUUUAAAUAUGGCAAAUAGAUACUACUUUCUGUGACUGAUAAUUAUCUGUGCAGAUCCAUGGAGUUUUUAAAAUUUUAGUAGCAUUUUGCAACAGAAUUUUUAUAACAAUUUGCAAGUUAGUUGCAAAUGGUGGAGGUUAUUUAAACUUCGGCCCGACCGAAAUUAGAUUCUAUUUUACUUGUUUCUUUUUUAACAACUCUCCUGAGCUAUAUGCGAACAUAACGACGCAAAUAAUCCGUAUACGCACCCGGAUAUAAUGAUCCACAAACUGCCCUAAUUAUUUGCAAUAUAGCAUUUGUUAAACCAAUUAUUCAUUAGCGUAUCAACAAUUAAUAUAUUCUUACAUAUUUCUAAACAAAAACAUAAAAACUUUAAUGAAUCAUUUUUUCAUGCCUUUUUAUUCCCUAUAUAUCACGGUAGUAUAUAAAGAUGCAUAUGUAUGCAUGCUUAUUUCACUUCGAUGGCAAAUUUGGUUACAUUUUUCUAUGUGCACUAUAUAAUAAAAUUAUCUUUUCCCCGUUGACUUUGAUUUUUUUUUCAAUGGGGAUGUGCAGCAGAUUGAAGUUAUAACAGAAAAUAACUACUUUAUUACUCAGAAAUUAGAGCAGAAGAAGUAACUAACAGCGUAACACCCUUAAAUUUGAAUCAAACCCCUUGGACUGUCGGUUCUAUGUUCCAGAUUGACUCGAAGGAACCAAACUUCGACCAGUAACCGACAACCCUGCAAAUACAUGUUCGUGUUUUUUUGAUGUGGGAGCAACAUUACCCGAAAUGUUUUAUCCAUGGCCGAGCGGGUGUUAAGGCCAAUCCCGGACCAUGGUUCUGCUCCGUUUGUCAUAAUCGCUUCUACACAGAUCAGUCUCGGUGAGAUGUAACGGAUACAUUGAGUGGUUGCAUUGAUGUGGCUUAAAUCGGAGACAGGAGUAUAACGAUAGGGAAAUUGCUUCCUGCUGGGCCAAUGAAGACCUCAGUAAGUCAUCUUCAUUGUCCACGUGUUCAUUUCAUCCACAAGAUCCACAAUCACGGUGUCCAAACUUAUCCAUUACCAUGGGUAUUGAUCAAUGUAGCUUUAGUUUUAUUCCAGUUGAUCACAAAUCCAUUAAAAGAAAUCCACGGUGAAGGAGAAAAGGCAAUAGAGUUCACCAAUUAUCUAACCUAUGAAUUAUCAACCGCUCUGAAGACAACAUGGAUGUCAUACAAAAACAGACAGCAUCAGCUGUCAACAACUGAUUGCAUGAUGUCAUUAAUACACAUGAUAAGGGUUAGGUUAAAGGAUACGUAGUUGUUUAAAACACAGCCACUCCACUCGGUGAUCUGCUGGCCCAUUGUGUUCAUCCUAUUUGGAGAAAAGGUUUAAGUUUAAGUUUAAGAAGAGUGUGAAAGUGUAUCCACGUUGUGAUCAGCGUAUUGUCUUUAGCCAUUUUAAUCUUCUGGCUAAUUGAUAAAAAUACUUGUAAGAAGUGACACAAUCGUUCACUGAGCUAUCGAUCUCUGGAUCUACUCAGAUCCGCCUCUGGUCAAUUCAUCUGCUGAUUCAUUGCCGGAUAUGUUACAAUGACCACGGACCCAACAAAGUUUGACAGAUGUCUUAAACUUUUCCAUAGCAUUUCUCCGGAUCUCCGUAUAUUCAAGCUUUUAUAGAAGACUCCAGCUCCCGUGCACUUUCCAUCUUUGAACCAUCGGCAUAGCGGGCUUUACCGUUAAAAGGUGGUGUGUUCCGGGUCCAGAUGUCCCUGUUUGGUAUAUGGAUGUCCAGUGUUUGGAAACGUUGCCUGGGUAAUAUAAAAUCACUGGUUAUAGCCCGACCUCCCAUACCCUCAACAUACUUAAGAAUAUUGUCCAAGAGAACUGACUCCGCCUUUGAUCAAGUUCAUUGAGUCGUAGGGCACACCUAGCAGCUUGUUCCUCUACAAAAAGACUUAAGGGUUUAAGGUUAUGUAGGGUGUCAAGUGCAGAUUGGGGUGUGCUUUUAAAGGCACCUGUAAUUAGUAACGAUGCUACUCUUUGGACUUUAUCAAUGUUUUUGCUGAAUGUAGCUUUGCCAAAAGCUUGCCACCACAAUAGCCCACUAAGUAAGAAUCAAUCCCACGGCAGCGGGUUCUACGACACCGGAUUGACCCGAAACAACAACAUUCCAGUUUCGGCCAGCGGCUGCCAACCCAGUAUAUACAUGUUCGUGUUUGUUUAUUUUUCUGUUUUGGGAGCAGCACAUCCCGGAAUGCUUGCUCCGGAUUCUUUUGGUCCGUGCCGGGCUUGAGGAAAACCCCGGACCAUGGUUCUGUACGGUUUGCCAAAACACCAUCCACCAUAGAUCAGUCUCGGUGCGAUGUAAUGGAUGCAGAGGAUGGGUGCAUUUUAGAAAUUGUUCCGGUUUAACCCGGUUGCGAGACUAUAGCGAUAGGGACUAUGUUGCUUCGUGCUGCACCAACGUAGUCCCCAGUGAGUCCACGACCUCGUCGUCACCUUCCGAGUCGUCGUCAGAGUAUGGGACUCCCCCGCAGUCUCCAGAACAGCAACAUUUACCGCAGCCCUUAACGCCACAUUUUGCUGUUCCAAUUCCGGACAAUGCAUCAUUCUUGCAGUUCAAUUGCAACGGACUCCGAGGUAAAAUUGAUGAGAUAGUGGAUUUUAUGAAUCGGAGGAAUAUUAAGAUCGCAGCGGUGCAGGAAACCAAGCUCAAUGAAAAUUGUAGCUUACAACGUUGCAAUGGUUACAACGUAUUAAGGAAAGAUCGCACCAGAAGUGGAGGUGGGGGAUUAGCGUUCCUGAUACACCAUUCUGUUCAAUACAGACCUAUCUCGCUUGAGCUAGUCUCUAGUGACCCGUACAUGGAGUGUAUGGGGGUAGCAGUCAAGUGUGGUACUGCCGAGGUAGAGGUGCUUAAUGUGUAUAUCCCGCCGGUUAAUAGCUGUGAACCGCGAUACUUGCCUAAUAUAAGCCCACUUUUGGAAGGCAAUAACCGCCUGGUACUAGGGGACUUCAAUGCCCACCAUGAGUUGUGGCAUUCCGUCCUAGGUAAUGACCAGAGGGGAUCAGCGUUGGCAGAGCAGAUUGACUGCUCCACAUUUUGCACGGUAAACGAGGAUGCCCCCACCCGAAUUAGAGGAGAGUGUCACAGUUCGCCAGAUUUAACCAUCGUGUCACCCGGUCUGAUAAAUGACGUGACUUGGCAACCCGUCAUUUCUCUUGGCUCAGACCAUCUCCCGAUAAUCGUCUCCAUCAGCAGAUCGCCCGAUUUCAUAACCUCUGAACGCCGCACUUUCCUUAACCAUGGGAAAGCCCACUGGCCCGAGUUCAGAGAGUUCACCAACCUUCGCUUCAGAGAACUGCCCAAUCCUUCUAAUGUUCGGGUAGCUGAAAGGAUUUUCCGGGACAUCAUCAAAGCUGCAGCCGCUCGCUAUAUACCUGCUGGUCGAAUACCCGAAGUAAGACCAAAUUUCCCAGCAGAGGCAGCGGUAUUAACGAAUGAGCGUGAUGAGCUCCGACGUACCAACCCUACUGAUCCCAGAGUCAAGGAACUGACAGUGGAAGUCAACCGGUUGGUACAGGAGCAUAAGCGGAAAAAGUGGCUAGACCAUCUGAAGUGUUGCAACAUUGGAACCGAUUUGAGUAAACUGUGGGUAACGGUAAAGUCACUCUCGAACCCUGGAAAAAAGGAUGAUAGGACAGCAGUCACAUUUAACGACGUAACUGUGACUGAUCCGAAGAGGUGCGCUGGCUGUUUUAACCGCCAAUUUGUCGAGCACCCCGAGAGUGAUAGGGCGAGGCGAAGAGUACUACGUCGUAUAAGAGCUCUUCCCGCCGAGGAUGUACCUAAACAGUUUACGAUGGGUGAUGUUGUGAAUGUCAUCCGAAACGCUAAGUCAUCUAAAGCGUUGGGCCCGGACGGAAUAUCAAUGGUAAUGUUGAAGCAACUGGAUACGCCGGGAGUUGAGUAUUUAACCAAAGUCCUUAACUUGUCGUUAGCCACCCACAUAGUUCCCGAAGCCUGGAAAAUGGGCAGGGUGGUCCCGCUACUGAAGUCUGGCAAGGAUGCCAGCAAUGGCGAAUCGUACAGGCCAAUUUCGCUUUUGUCGCCAGUAGCAAAGACUCUCGAGGCCUUACUCCUCCCCAGUAUCAGAGGAAGCUAUUCAGUUGCUAACCAUCAACACGGUUUCCGUCCACUACAUAGCACUACAACAGCAUUGCACACCAUAUCCACACAUAUCAGUCGAGGACUCAACCAGAACAGGCCGUGCCACAGAACAGUAGUGGUGGCUCUCGACCUUUCAAAGGCCUUUGAUACGGUCAACCAUGCCACGCUGUUCGAGGACGUUGAGAACACUACCCUCCGGCCAUAUUUGAAACGUUGGAUAGUCAACUAUAUGUGUGGACGCCAGUCGUACGUGGAAUUCCGGAAUAAGAAGUACAAGCCUCGUAGAGUGAAACAGGGAGUUCCCCAAGGUGGGGUGAUAUCUCCGGAACUGUUUAACCUCUACCUUUCCGGAAUUCCGCGCCCUCCAGACGGUAUCGAGAUCGUAACUUAUGCGGAUGAUUGUACGAUCAUGGCGUCGGGUCCUGUAGUUGAUGACAUAUGUGUCAGGGUGAAUAACUAUCUCGCGGAGCUUGCCGCCUUCUUCCACGCGAGGAAUAUGAGAAUAUCCGCCACUAAAUCCACGGCUACACUAUUUACCACAUGGACUGCGGAGAUGAGCACACAGCUGAAUGUGCAGAUCGAGGGGCAUAUAAUUCCGACCAUAAUUUACGUUCGAUAGCAUGUUCAAGUCUUCCGCGCAAGCCACAGCUAUUUGCGAAAAAAUGAAAAGUAGGAACAAGGUCCUCAAGGCGCUAGCCGGCAGCACUUGGGGUGCGGAUAAGGAAACCUUGUUGACCUCUUAUAAAGCGAUAGGUCGGUCUGUGGUUAGCUAUGCGGGUCCAGUGUGGUCGGCGAAUACAAGUGCAACGCAGUGGAAAAGUAUUCAGACCUGCCAGAAUGCCGCCCUGAGAACUGCAACAGGGUGCCUCCUCAUGACGCCUGUGGACCACCUACAUGAGGAGACGAAGGUUCUUCCCUUACGUCAGCAUAAUCAUAUGUUUUCGUUGCAGUACCUGCUUGGGUGUUAUCGCGGGAGUCACCCUAACCACCAUAUGGUGGAUAGAACUCCCCCACCCAGGCGUGUCAGGAAGGACAUGCACGAUCUAGAGAGAGAGGUCCAGCAAUAUAAGAGAGAGCCUCUAGAUCAUGAAGCCUAUCAAGCGGGUCUGAAUAGCAUUCAUACUGAUGCAGUCGCAGAGGUAGUUAAUAAUUACAGUAUGAAUGCCAUACUCGGAGUCCACCCCCCAUCCAUUGCAGCUGAAGAACGUCGGCUGCCUAGGCAAACCAGGGUAGUUUUGGCCCAACUACGUUCAGGAUGGUGCAGCCGUCUUAAUUCGUAUUGGGCACGAAUUGAUAAGGAUGUGCGGAACGCCUGCCCAGCGUGCGAUACAGGCCCGCACAACACGCUGCACUUGUUUAAUUGUCCAGCCAAACCUACCCAACUCCGUCCAGAGGAUCUAUGGCUACAGCCCAUAAAGGUAGCAGAAUUCCUAAACCUGGACAUUGAGGAAGAACCGGAUUAGUCGAAAAAAAAAAAACAACAGAACGUGUAAAACUGCUACAAUAACUAAGUAAGAAUUGGUCGAACUACAGAUUCAUAUAUCCAUUUGAUUAUAAGUGGCUUAAGUCCCCAGCUCUUACCUAUGGAGUUUCUGCAAGAGUAGAGAGCGAUUAAGCAUCUCUUCACUCGCUCCUCGAUAUUCCUUUUCUAAUUUCAUUUUUGGUUAAAGGUAGUACCGAGGUACUUAGCUUCCGUUGAUAGUCUUAACCUAACGAAAAAUCUGGGAUUUUCCACCUCCUUUGAAAAAUACCAGCUCACGCCGAGUCCGCUGCAUCGUGCCAAUCUACCGCAAUCGGCAGAACCACAUCGUCAGCGUAAGCCACUACUUUUGUUCCGUCAUGUUCCAGGUCCUUUAGGAUAUCGUUUAUCACCAGAAGCAAGAGUAAUUGUGAGAUAACCUCUGCUUGUGUGGUACCCUUAGUAACUGAUUUCUUGACAGAGCUCUCCCCAAUGCAUGAAUUGAUGAUUCUGCUACUGAGCAUUACAUCAAUCCAUUCAAUUAGGGGUGGUGGUAAACUAAGUUUUAUAAGGCAACCAUGAAUUGCCUCAAGUGUAACAUUGUUGAAUGCGCCUUCUAUAUCGAGAAAGGCUGCCAAGGUGAAGAACGGGUAGUUCAGGUUCUUCUCCACAAAACCCACUGUAUCAUGCGGCGCUGUUUUAACAUAUUUACCUUUCGUGUAGGCAUGUUGAUCAGUGCUGAUUGAAGUCAAGGAUAGUUGAGAUCUGAUUUCAAUAUCUAUUAUUCUCACUAGGGUUUUCAAUGAAAAAGACGAAAGACUGAUAGGCCUGUAGUAUUUUGGAAAUACAUAAUUUGGGAAUAUAAGUGACUGUAAUUUCCCUCCACAGUGAUGGAAUGACAGAGAGGCGUAGACAAGCCCUAAAGAUCACAUCCAGAAAUGGUAUUAUUACCGUCGAUGCGUGUUGUAACAUGGCGGAACAAUGCCGUCCGGUCCCGGAGACUUGAAAGGUUUAAAGGAGUUUAUCGCCCAUAAAAUUAUGAGGGUGCUUAUAAUCCUAUCAAUCAGACUCAACUCCACUACCCCACAGUGCUGACUAUAUUGCUCUGUCAGUCAAUCAUUUCUCGCAUCUGUGCAGUUGAGAAAGUGAGUGCUGGCUAGCAGAUUGAGAGUCUCUAGAAAAGAGUCAGUCCAACUUCCAUCUCCUUGUUCUAUGCAUCCAAUGGAUUUAGGGUCCUUUGAAAGAACCUUACGAAAUCUGGAAGCUUCAUUGGCAUUUUCUACAGACUCAGUAAAACACACCCAUGGUAACCUUUUAGCCCCCUUGAUCUCCCUGUUGUACCUGUUGAAAGCAUAUUUGUAUGCUUCCCAGUCCGUACUCAGUUUUAUCUUGUUGGCCCUAUUAUAUAAGCGUCUGCUUACUUUCCUGAGCUUAACUAUAUCCUUAGACCCCCAAACAAUUUGGCAUCUUUUGCCAGGGAAGGUAAGCGGACAAGUUUUCUCAUAACAACCAAUCAGAAUCUUUGCUAUUAAAAUAACGGAGUCAUCAAUGAUUGAGGCAGUGGCUACCGGUAAAAUACUUGUAGAUUUCAGCAUCAACUCAGUAAACUCCAAGUAUUUGUCCUAUCGAGCCUUUCUUGGAUUCCUAUGAGGUUUCUGAUGCAGUCCCUCUACUGAGAUUUGGUAUGUUAUCCUCCGAUGAUCCAAGAAGGAGCAUUCGGCGGAAACCUUCCAAUUCAGUGUAAAAGAUUUAUCCAUGUUUGUAAGGGUGAGAUCAAUGACCUCCUCCCUAUGUUCAUUUUGAAAAGUAGCCUCGUUUCCUCUUUUACCUAUUUUGGGAUUAUGUUUAAGGAUAUAAUCAAAAAUGGACACAACUCUGGCAUUGGUAUCCAUACUGCCUCAUUGAAAGUGGUGGGCGUUGGCGUCGUAUCCAACGACGAGAUUGCCCUUGCUUUCCAGCUCCGUUAACAGCUUUUCUACUACCUGGCCUGGCGGGUUGGGGUGUUCAUAAGAUAGAUAUUGGAAGACAAAAAUGAGGAUUCUUUCAGAUCGUUUCUCCAGCGUAACCGUCGUGGCGUCUCCUUCGCUGAAAUUGUAAAGAAAAAUUAAGUUAAAACUCUUUUUAGCGACGAUACAUGUUCUAACCUUUUCUCCGUAGGUGGUAGAGUAGGAUAUUUUUGAAUAUAUAGUGUUCUUGGACCAGGGCUAUGUCAACUUCAGUUUUAGUGAGGGAUAGGAGAAGUUCGGCAGACGGAGUCGAAUCCAUCCCGUGCCGAAAUUCAGUUUCCCCCAUGAGCCUGAAGAUAUUCCUGGCCAGCAGUAUCAACAGAUACCUUGAUAACCAGGCCUCCUCCAUCUGUACUUGAACAGACUAAUCGCCAGUUGUCCGUACAGAGAUUGAGAUUUUUUCCUAGUAUUAUCAGCAUACGUGCCGUGUCUACCGAAAGUGGUGGCACCAAUGCUGAUAAUACCUUUCUUCAGGGUAUAUCCUUCAGGGAUGCAGCCGCUAUUUCGCUUUCCUCCCAAAGUCCGCGAAAGUCAUCUACUGCGGGUACAAGGAAGUUUUUAGACUCCUCGUUUUCGCAGCAAAUGACCUUCAUUCCUUCAGUGCAGCCCCUUAGGAUCUUCCCCUAGAAAAACUAGCUCCUUCAGACGGUCCUCAAUGAGCAUUAAACGACUUUCGCUGAUUUUGCCUUCCGGCUCAGUACGAUCAAUAACUGCUACACGGAGGUUGUCCGGGUACACAGUUUGGGAAAAUUUCCUUUUUCUGCUGGUUCGAAGGUUGGGGUUUGGUAGAUUCAGUUUUGGCUUUAGUAGACUUAAGUUCUACAGAAGCUUAUUGAGUCGUAGCAACCAUUACCUUCUUUUUAGAUAGCGCAGCUGGUGGAGCCUCGGGUUGUGGUUCCUCUGUCGACCGUCCCCUCUUCAUCGUUAAACGAGAUGAGCUUUUGGUCUCAUUCGGUUCCACCGAGGAAUCGACUCCACCUUCAUUGCCCAUCAUGAUUUGUGGCAUUUUGCGCGGUAAACCAUAUUUCGCACAGUAAACGAGGAUGUCCCACCUGAAUAACAGGAGAGUGUUACAGUUCGCCAGACUUAACCAUUGUGUCACCCGGUCUGAUAAAUGACGUGACUUGGCAACCCGUCAUUUCUAUUACCUUAGACCAUCUUCCGAUAAUCCUCUUAAUCAGCAGAUCUCUGAACGCCGCACUUUCCUUAAUCAUGGAAAAGCAUAUUGGCCUGAGUUCAAAGAUUACACAAACCUUCGCUCCAGAUAACUAUCCAACCCUUCUGAUGUUCGGAUAGCGAAUUGGAUUUUCCGGGACAUAAUCAAAGCUGCAGCCGCUCGCUAUAUACCUGCUGGUCGUAUAUCCGAAGUAAGACCAAAUUUCCCAUUAGAAGCAGCGGGAUUAGCGAAAGAGCGUGAUGAGGUCCAGCCCUACUGAUGCCCGAGUCAGUGAACUGACAGUGGAAGUCAACAGGCUGGUCACAACACAAAAAAUAAUUGGACAACACAAAAAAUAAUUUUUCAUCAAGAUAACGCUCCAGCGAAUAAGAAUGUUGUAACAAUGGCUAAAGUCAACGAAUUAAAGUACGAGUUGCUUAACCACCCACCUUAUUCUCCUGAUUUAGCUCCCAGUGACUUGUUACUUGUUCGCAAAACUAAAAAAAUGCCUUGCUGGCAAGCGCUUUACCUCAAAUGAAGAUGCAAUUACAGUUGUAAACCACUAUUUUGAAGAACUUAAGGAAAACUAUUUUAAUCAAGUUUCCGAACCGCCCUCGUAUAUGUGUGGACGCCAGUCUUACGUGGAAUUCCGGAAAAAUAAGUCCAAGCCCCGUAGAGUGAAACAAGGAGUUCCCCAACGUUUGGAGAUAUCUCCGGAAUUGUUUAACCUCUACAGAGAAAUCCAGAAAUCCGCGCCCUCCAGACGGCAUCGAGAUCGUAACACAUGCGGAUGACUGUACGAUCAUGGCGUCGGGUCCUAUAGUUGAUGACAUAUGUGUCAGAGUGAACAGCUAUCUCGGGGAGUUUGCAGCCUUCUUCCAUGUGAGGAAUAUGAAAAUAUACGCCACCAAAUCAACGACCACACUAUUUACCACAUGGAGCUGAAUGUGCCGGUCGAGGGGCACAUAAUUCCGACCACUAGCUAUCCCAAAAUCCUUGGGUUCAUGUUCGACAUCAUGUUCAAGUCGUCCGCGCAAGUCACAGCUAUCUGCGAUAAAUUGAAAAGUAGGAAAAAGGCCCUCAGGGCGCUAGAUAAUAAAGAAACCUUGUUGACAGAACUUCCGCACCCAGGCGUGUCAGGAAGGAGAGAGAGAGACCGAGGUCCAGCGAUAUAAGAGAGAGCCUAUAGAUCAUGAUGCCUAUCAAGCGGGUCUGAAUAGCAUUCAUACUGAUGCAGUCGCAGACGUAGUUAACAAUUACAGUAUGAAAGCCAUCCUCGGAGUCCACCCCUAUCCACAGCUCAAGAACGUCGGCUGCCUAAGCAAACCAGGGUAGUUUUGGCCCAACUACGUUCAGUAUGGUGCAGCUGCCUCAAUUCAUAUUGAGCAUGAAUUUAGGCGAAAUAUCAUUACUACUCCUUACGCCUCUCAUUUCUCAUCAUAGCUUUACCACAAAUCCUAUAUAUAUAAAAAAUGCUCCUGUUAUCAUCCGCAGGUCGCUUGCGCGAUUAAAAGUAUGCAAGAUCUAUAAACACCCACGCCGACUUCACUACGUCAGUUUCCAAGCAGGCAUUCUCUGGGGUUUUGUUUAAUACCCACGGUAAUGGUGGUAUUGUAAUUUAUCGGAAGUUACUGUCUUGCUUUGCCGUGUAUUGUUUCAGCUACUGAGUCUGUAUUGUAUUGAUGCAUUUUCAUGUUAGAAAGAUAGUGGUCGUAUCUUUACUGUUAUCGCAGGUGAAUUAUUAUCUGGAAUUCAUCUCUGGCACCUUUUAUUCAAUUGCUCGUUGCGUAGUGAUCAUUUUUAGUUUUGCUAAUGACUCCUGGGAUUGUCAUUUAACAACUAUGAUGAUCUUCGCAUUCUUCAAUGUCAUAAUAAUGAUGUGCAAUGUUGACUUAAAUCUUUGAGAUAGGUUUGUAUUUGGUAUGUCAUAUCGUAAUACAUAUACAUAUGAAUUAUAUAUGAAACAGGUGAUACAUCUACGCACUCGUGUUCCAUUACAUUAUAUAUAUUGUUGCGUAAUGUACUAAUUGUAAUGUGAAUGAAAACUGAACAUGGUCUCCCACUGAACAUGACCACACGAAGACUUGUUUAGCAUAGGCGCAUGUGAAUUGACGAGCUUGCACUUAACGCCGAAAAUGAGGCGUACAUGCAGUUGCUGUAUAGAAGUUCAACCUAAUAUAUGUUUAGAAGUGAACAUAAAAGUAUAUUGAGUUUAUUGAAGUGAACAUGAAGUCUGUUUUGUUAGUAAGUUUAAAAUAAGAGAAACCUUGUGAACUACGUUAAGUUUUGUGUUACUUUAUUUAAUUUAAUAAUAUGAACCGAAAUUUAAUCAAUAAUAAACAUUACAAUAACAAUAAUAAACAAUUUAACAUUUA